GUGCUCGCUUUGGUGGCACAUAUACUAAAAUGGGAACAAUACAGAGAAUUAGCAUGGCCCCUGGGCAAGGAUGGGCAAAUUCGUGAAGCGUUCCAUCUUUUU
ensembl:snRNA U6 U6 spliceosomal RNA